rnacentral:rRNA from 1 species
GAUGAACGCUAGCUACAGGCUUAACACUUGCAAGUCGAGGGGAAACGAUAGAGAAAGCUUGCUUUUUCUAGGCGUCGACCGGCGCACGGGUGAGUAACGCGUAUCCAACCUGCCCAUCACUUGGGGAUAACCUUGCGAAAGUAAGACUAAUACCCAAUGACGUCUCUAGAAGACAUCUGAAAGAGAUUAAGGAUUUAUCGGUGAUGGAUGGGGAUGCGUCUGAUUAGCUUGUUGGCGGGGUAACGGCCCACCAAGGCGACGAUCAGUAGGGGUGCUGAGAGGAAGCGCCCCCACAUUCGAGCGGAGACACGGUCCAAUCUCCUACAGGAUGCAGCAGUGAGUAAUAUUGCUCAAUGGACGAGAGUCUGACCCAGCCAAGUAGCGUGCAGGAUGACGGCCCUCUGGGUUGUAAACUGCUUUUAUAAGGGAAUAAAGUGAGAGUCGUGACUCUUUUUGCAUUUACCUUAUGAAUAAGGACCGGCUAAUUCCGUGCCAGCCGCCGCAGUAA